UUAUAAAUAUUUUAAAGCAUUUUUUAAAAUUAUAAUAUUUAAAUUUUGAUAAAGUUAUAAUAUUUAUAAUUUCUUGAAACAUUUUAAAGUUUCAAUUCUUUAAAAUAAAAAAACCCGAGUAAAUCGGAUAACUAUUUUAAUUUUGGACGCCUGAUAAAUCAAGCUUCCUGCUCAUUCGUAAUCAGAAUCAUUUUGGUCCUUUUAUAAUAUGGAUCUGAACCAUUAUCCAAUUUUUCUAAGCGAUGUGGGACAUUGUACACAUAUUAUUUCUUCAUAGGUUGAAUAAUAUAUGCCCGUUUUAAAAAAAUUGAAUUACAUCAUAUGCAGAAAAAAUAUAAUAUUUUAUUAACUAUAUAUAUUUUAUAUAAAUUCAAAAUAAAUAAAGUAUAAGAUCAAAUAAAAGUGAAAGAAGAAUUAUAUAUUUAUGUUUAAAUUAGGUAGAAAUAUUUUAGGAAAUUAGUUAAGGUAAAUAACAAAUAUGGUUAGUUUAGAGAUAUUGUUUAUAUUAAAUUUGGUAAUUAAAUCAUUAAUUUUCGUUUUAAAUUAUUAGGUUUUAGGUAACUUUUCCAAAAAUUAAUGUUAUCUAAGAUGAGAACAGAAUUAAACAUGUUAUCCAAGAUCCGAACAGAGUUAAACCGGGUAAAACCCACCCAUUUGAAUUAAUUGUUAAAUUAUGGCUCAAAUCUUUAACAUUAUCUUCAAAAAACGUCUACAAAAAUGUAUAUAUAGAUUAUUUUAAAGAAGAUUUUUGAUCCUAUUGCUAGUUAUCUAAGUUUAUUACCUUUUUAGAAAUUUCACGAAAUCUUAUUAUAACCAUUUUGGAAGUUUUAAAAACCAUGUUGAUUGAUAGGUGAUAUAUGAACAAUCUAUCAUCUUUAUGU
rnacentral:sRNA from 1 species